GACGAACGCUGGCGGCGUGCCUAAUACAUGCAAGUUGAGCGCUGAAGGUUGGUACUUGUACCAACUGGAUGAGCAGCGAACGGGUGAGUAACGCGUGGGGAAUCUGCCUUUGAGCGGGGGACAACAUUUGGAAACGAAUGCUAAUACCGCAUAAAAACUUUAAACACAAGUUUUAAGUUUGAAAGAUGCAAUUGCAUCACUCAAAGAUGAUCCCGCGUUGUAUUAGCUAGUUGGUGAGGUAAAGGCUCACCAAGGCGAUGAUACAUAGCCGACCUGAGAGGGUGAUCGGCCACAUUGGGACUGAGACACGGCCCAAACUCCUACGGGAGGCAGCAGUAGGGAAUCUUCGGCAAUAGACGAAAGUCUGACCGAGCAACGCCGCGUGAGUGAAGAAGGUUUUCUGAUCGUAAAACUCUGUUGGUAGAGAAGAACGUUGGUGAGAGUGGAAAGCUCAUCAAGUGACGGUAACUACCCAGAAAGGGACGGCUAACUACGUG
rnacentral:rRNA from 1 species